GUUUAAAUAGCUUAAUUAAAGCAUAUUAUUGAAGAUGAUAUGAUGAUUUGAAUAAUCUUUAAACA
rnacentral:tRNA from 1 species